AUUGAACGCUGGCGGCAGGCCUAACACAUGCAAGUCGAACGAGUGGCGGACGGGUGAGUAAUGUCUGGGAAACUGCCUGAUGGAGGGGGAUAACUACUGGAAACGGUAGCUAAUACCGCAUACCAUCAGAUGUGCCCAGACGGGAUUAGCUUGUUGGUGGGGUAACGGCUCACCCAGGCGACGAGCCCUAGCAGGUCUGAGAGGAUGACCAGCCACACUGGAACUGAGACAAGGUCCAGCCUCCUACGAGAGGCAGCAGUGGAGAAAAGUGCACAAUGGGCGCAAGGCUGAUACCGCCAUGCCGCGGGUAUGAAGAAGGCCUUCGGGUUGUAAAGUACUGUCAGCGGGGAGGCGUUACCCGCAGAAGAAGCACCGGCUAACUACGUGCCAGCAGCCGCGGUAAUAC
rnacentral:rRNA from 1 species